rnacentral:rRNA from 1 species
ACGCUGACACCUACGGGAGGCAGCAGUGGGGAAUAUUGCACAAUGGGGGAAACCCUGAUGCAGCGACGCCGCGUGAGCGAAGAGUAUUACGUUAGUAGUAAGACUCUAGGUAACAGCAGGGAACGAAAACUAGACGGUACCUGCUAAAGAAGCGACCCGACGUAAAUACGUCGUACCAGCAGCCGCGGUAAGUCUAGGAGCGGGCUGGCAAGGC